UCAAGGGAAAUCUGAAAUCUGAAAUCUGC
rnacentral:piRNA from 1 species